rnacentral:rRNA from 1 species
GCUUGCUCUUGAUGACGAGUGGCGCACGGGUGAGUAACGCGUAUGCAAUCUACCUAUAACUGAGGAAUAGCCCAGAGAAAUUUGGAUUAAUACCUCAUAAUAUUAUUAUUUGGCAUCAUUUAAUAAUUAAAACUCCGGUGGUUAUAGAUGAGCAUGCGUUCUAUUAGCUAGUUGGUGAGGUAAGAGCUCACCAAGGCUACGAUAGGUAGGGGGCCUGAAAGGGUGAUCCCCCACACUGGUACUGAGACACGGACCAGACUCCUACGGGAGGCAGCAGUGAGGAAUAUUGCACAAUGGAGGAAACUCUGAUGCAGCCAUGCCGCGUGCAGGAUGAAGGCCCUAUGGGUUGUAAACUGCUUUUUUACAAGAAGAAACCUUGGUACGUGUACCAACUUGACGGUAUUGUAAGAAUAAGCACCGGCUAACUCCGUGCCAGCAGCCGCGGUAAUACGGAGGGUGCAAGCGUUAUCCGGAUUUAUUAGGUUUAAAGGGUUCGCA